CUGAAACUCAAAGGAAUUGACGGGGACCCGCACAAGCGGUGGAGCAUGUGGUUUAAUUCGAGGCUACACGAGGAACCUUACCUAGGUUUGACAUGAUAAGAGUAGUCCUGAUGAAAGUCGGGGCGAUCGUGACCAAUCGAAGCUUAUCACAGGUGCUGCAUGGCUGUCGUCAGCUCGUGCUGUGAAGUGUUGGGUUAAGUCCCGCAACGAGCGCAACCAUUGCCCUUAGUUGCCAUCAGGUAACGCUGGGAACUCUAAGGGGACUGCCAGUGAUAAACUGGAGGAAGGUGGAGAUGAUGUCAAGUCAGCAUGGCCCUUACGCCUAGGGCUACACACGUGCUACAAUGGCUAGUACAAUGGGCAGCAAACCCGCGAGGGGGAGCAAAUCCCAAAAAGCUAGCCUCAGUUCGGAUUGCAGGCUGCAAUCCGCCUGCAUGAAGUUGGAAUCGCUAGUAAUGGCACAUCAGAUAUGGUGCCGUGAAUACGUUCCCGGGUCUUGUACACACCGCCCGUCAAGCCACCUGAAUCAGAAGUACCCGAAAUCGUCUCUCUAACCCGCAAGGGAGGAAGAUGUUGAAGGUAAGACUGGUGAGGAGGGCU
rnacentral:rRNA from 1 species